GACGAACGCUGGCGGCAUGCUUAACACAUGCAAGUCGAACGGACAGGCCGCGCUUUUGUGGGGUGCUCGUGGGGCAAGCGGGUGAGUCACACGUGAGUAACCUGCCCUUGACUUUAGGAUAACUUCAGGCAACUGGGGCUAAUACCGGCUAGGAGCUCCUGCUGCAUGUAUGGGGAUGGAAUGUUUCGGCGGUUGGGGAUGGACUCGCGGCUUAUCAGCUUGAUGGUGGGGUAGUGGCAUACCUAGGCUUUGACGGGUAGCAGGCCUGAGAGGGUUACCGGCCACACUAGGACGGAGAUGCGGCACAGACUCCUACGGGAGGCAGCAGUGGGGAAUAGUGCACAAGGGGCGGAAGCCUGAUGUAGCAACGCCGCGUGGGGGAAGUCGGCCAGGGGGUCGGGAAGCGCUGCUGCCUGGGACGGAGCGUGAGUGACGGUAACGGUAAAAGAAGCACCGGCUAACUACGUG
rnacentral:rRNA from 1 species